rnacentral:rRNA from 1 species
CUACGGGGCGCUGCAGUGGGGAAUAUUGCACAAUGGAGGAAACUCUGAUGCAGCAACGCCGCGUGGAGGAUGACACUUUUCGGAGCGUAAACUCCUUUUAUAUAGGAAGAAGAUGACGGUACUAUAUGAAUAAGCGCCGGCUAACUCCGUGCCAGCAGCCGCGGUAAUACGGAGGGCGCAAGCGUUACUCGGAAUUCACUGGGCGUAAAGAGCGUGUAGGCGGAUUAAAAAGUCAGAAGUGAAAUCCUAUAGCUUAACUAUAGAACUGCUUCUGAAACUCUUAAUCUAGAAUAUGGGAGAGGUAGAUGGAAUUUCUGGUGUAAGGGUAAAAUCCGUAGAGAUCAGAAGGAAUACCGAUUGCGAAGGCGAUCUACUAGAACAUUAUUGACGCUGAGACGCGAAAGCGUGGGGAGCAAACAGGAUUAGAUACCCUCGUAGUC